rnacentral:rRNA from 1 species
ACGCUCGACACCUACGGGGNGAGCAGUGGGGGAUAUUGCACAAUGGGGGAAACCCUGAUGCAGCAACGCCGCGUGAGGGAAGAAGGUUUUCGGAUUGUAAACCUCUGUCCCCGGGGAAGAUAAUGACGGUACCCGGGGAGGAAGCUCCGGCUAACUACGUGCCGGCAGCCGCGGUAAUCUGAGCGGGCUGGCAAGGC